rnacentral:rRNA from 1 species
CCUACGGGUGACUGCAGUGAGGAAUAUUGGUCAAUGGACGCAAGUCUGAACCAGCCAUGCCGCGUGCAGGAAGACGGCUCUAUGAGUUGUAAACUGCUUUUGUACGAGGGUAAACGCAGAUACGCGUCUCUGUCUGAAAGUAUCGUACGAAUAAGGAUCGGCUAACUCCGUGCCAGCAGCCGCGGUAAUACGGAGGAUUCAAGCGUUAUCCGGAUUUAUUGGGUUUAAAGGGUGCGUAGGCGGUCGGAUAAGUUAGAGGUGAAAUCCCGAGGCUCAACUUCGGAAUUGCCUCUGAUACUGUGCGGCUAGAGAGUAGUUGAGGUAGGCGGAAUGUAUGGUGUAGCGGUGAAAUGCUUAGAGAUCAUACAGAACACCGAUUGCGAAGGCAGCUUACCAAGCUACUUCUGACGUUGAGGCACGAAAGCGUGGGGAGCAAACAGGAUUAGAUACCCGGGUAGUC